UACGGGGGGAGCAAGCGUUGUUCGGAUUUACUGGGCGUAAAGGGCGCGUAGGCGGUCAGCACAAGUCAGUUGUGAAAUCUCCGGGCUUAACUCGGAAAGGUCAACUGAUACUGUGCGACUAGAGUGCAGAAGGGGCAACUGGAAUUCUCGGUGUAGCGGUGAAAUGCGUAGAUAUCGAGAGGAACACCUGCGGCGAAGGCGGGUUGCUGGGCUGACACUGACGCUGAGGCAUGAAAGCGUGGGGAGCAAACAGG
rnacentral:rRNA from 1 species